CCUGACAGCGCCUGCGCAUUGAUGCCGAAUGUGGAUGUCGACACAUUCCUGGUCUCUCUUUUGUUCUUGUUGAACCUGGUUAAGCUGAAUGCAAUUUGCAGCCAUUAUGCCACCAUGCAUGAGGUGUGUGCUUUGGUUUCUUGGCUGAAAUCUACAUCACAACUGUGGUGUAUAUGAACUCCAACUAGCAACAAAAAGACAUGACCAGUACUCACUCGUCUCCAUUCGCAUGGAUAAGGAGAACCACCAGUUUGAUUGGGACAACAUCAGUAUCCGAGGACAGGCCAAACAGAGACAGGCACGGGAAUUUCUAGAGGCCUGAUUCUCCAGCAAGAAGGCCAUCAACAAACACAUAGAAUUAGACCCUAUAUACACACGACUGCAAAGAAAAACCAGAAAUGAGGUAAUCAACUCCAAUGGGCCCUAGAGGUUAAAUACCAGGCAGGAAAACACAACAGUGCUUCAUCGGAGGCUGCACUGAUGAUGUUACCCAGCAAG